rnacentral:rRNA from 1 species
GACGAACGCUGGCGGCGUGCCUAAUACAUGCAAGUCGAGCGAAGUUUUUCUGGUGCUUGCACUAGAAAAACUUAGCGGCGAACGGGUGAGUAACACGUAAAGAACCUGCCUCAUAGACUGGGACAACUAUUGGAAACGAUAGCUAAUACCGGAUGACAGUAUUUCUCGCAUGAGAGAUAUUUAAAAGUUGGUUAUGCUAACACUAUGAGAUGGCUUUGCGGUGCAUUAGCUAGUUGGUGGGGUAAAGGCCCACCAAGGCGACGAUGCAUAGCCGACCUGAGAGGGUGAUCGGCCACACUGGGACUGAGACACGGCCCAGACUCCUACGGGAGGCAGCAGUAGGGAAUCUUCCGCAAUGGGCGAAAGCCUGACGGAGCAACGCCGCGUGAGUGAAGAAGGAUUUCGGUUCGUAAAGCUCUGUUGUUAGGGAAGAAUGGAUAUGUAGUAACUAUACAUGUAAGAGACGGUACCUAACCAGAAAGCCACGGCUAACUACGUG